UUUAAAUUUAUUUUUAUUAUUCUAUUUUAUAUUUUUUGUGACGUCCGACUUUUCAGAUGGUUACUCAUCCUAAAACUCUUUUAGUCCUGACACUCUUAACCUUCUUAAUCUCCUGGACUCAGCCACUGCCUAAAGUGUUAUAACUGGGUUAAGAGGUUUAACUUUAUUAUAUUUCAUCUAUAAAAUAAUUUUAAAUUCUGAGAUGUCACAUUCUUCCACCCGAAGUCCUAACAUUUUUAUCUCUCAAAAAAAAAAGUCCUAACAUUCUCAUCAGACUCAAGUACACAAAUAAACACUAGACAAUAUGAAACUCGUCUCAUUAUCCUUAACCGAUCUUGUCGGCAGCUGCGCUCCACUCAUAAUGAUCAUCAGCCGGAGAAUCGCGCUCUACCUACUAUAUGAUCCUAGUUUUACUUUGAUUUAUUUCGCACUUUCGGUUGGUGAUUUGCUCUGAGACUAACUAUGAUGCCUCAUCGGGCUCAAGCAUACAAAUAAGCAUCAGAUGAUAUGAAACU
rnacentral:lncRNA from 1 species